GCUUUGAGGGAGGCUGAGGCGCUGGUUGCAGGCGGCGCUGUGGGGUCCGUCUACCCCUUGGGCUCCCAGAUUGACCACAGGGGCGGGUAGGAGUGGUGAGAGGCAGAGAAACUGCGAGAGGGUGGUCAGUAGCUGGGGCAGCAGUACAUAGCAAACAUGCCCGCAGGAUUCAGCGGUUAGGAGCCAAGUCCAGGCGGUAUGAGCGCAGGCCCCCGGUACAUAGUUGUAUAUUCUUCGUUGUGGGUCCCUCUAGUUGUGGCAUGUGGGACGCUGCCUCAGUGUGGUUUGAUGAGCAGUGCCAUGUCUGCGCCCAGGAUUCAAACCAACGAAAGACUGGGCCGCCUGCAGUGGAGCACAUGAACUUAACCACUCGGCCAUGGGGCCAGCCCCUCAGAAAGGGCUUUUAGGGAGAGAAGAGGCCACGUGAGGACACAGUGAGAAGGUGGCCAUCUACAAGCUAGGAAGAGAGGCUUCACCAGAAACCAACCCUGAAGGCACCUUUGCCUUGGAUUCCUAGCCUCCAGAACUGGCUGAAGGAACAAACUCAAGUCAGAUCCCAGGAAUGACUUCCAGAGCGACACUGCAGGAUUUGGCUGCUAAGAGGGCUGCUGCCUCUGACAUGAACAGGAAACUGCAGGAUCAGGAGCUGCUCAUCUGUAGCCGUUCUCUCUCUGCCAGUGUUCCAUGCCUGCA
rnacentral:lncRNA from 1 species